CAAGGUUUUCUAAUGAACCACUUAGGCACAUUCAGCUUCUUAAGGCUAUUUAAAACUUCUAAUUGAAUUUUCACCACAAAAGUGAUUUAAUAAUAUUUUCAAAGCUUACAGAAGACAAAUGAAUACACUAAAUGGUGUUGAAAACUGAAUUAUUUCUGUGAUAAUAUUUUAGUGGAAUGCCUGUAAAUUAAAAAAAUACAGAAAAUAAAAGAGAGAGGACAUCCGUGCUUACUCAAAUGUCCUGCCUAAUUCAGAAUAGCAAAUUAAAAUGUAAAUUAAAGUCUCUCUCUCUCUCUCUCCACUUUCACAGAUAUAAAAUACAGUGAAGAUAAACUUCAAAGGUUCACAAUGACUCCUUCAUUUUCUCCAAGGGAAUUUAUGAACACCAUGAUAAUGUGGAAGUGUUAGAUAAAAAAAAUGUAGACUACACUAAGCAAUUGUGCUUGUAUUUUUUUCUUUAAUAUCAUACACUUGAAUAAUUUUACAGAAGACAACAAACUUCUUUCAACUACACAGGGUUUCGAAGAGAUGGUUGGAAAUGUUUAACAGGAGAAACUACUUAUGAGUUAGUUUUACAAUAUUGUAUCACAGUCUUGUUGAACCAUAAGAAAGUUAAAUAGAAGAAAAUGCAUUUAUGACCUCCAAUAAUAAUAAUAACAAUAACAACAACAAUAAUGUUAUUCUGUUUGCUGAGUAUGACAUGCAUUUCUGAUUUACUUAGUCUACAAGGUACAAAUAUACCCUGCCUUCUGCCUGAUGUGGUAUGUGGCAUGACCUUAGAGCAUGAAAGGAUAUCACUGGAGAAGGUUUACACACAAAUAUAUUAAGCUACCCAGAGAAAGCCAGAUUCCCAUUUUGUGUUUGAUUUCUGCAAAGUACUGUGCCCACUGUCUGAGGCAUGCUAUACCUUUACAAAAGGUGUUUUUAGUCCUUGCUUGAAAGUCCUGCAAAGAGUUUACCCAUAAGAAGAAAUGGGAGGUCUACUGUGACUAUGUAGUUCCUGUUCAUUAAAGAGUGAAUGGAUUUGUUCCAACCUUUUCUAGGUACACUUUAAAUUUCAUGAGUCCCCUUUGACAUUUAAAAUACCAUUUCCAGGCCUUCCCCUGUUCCACAUAUAUUCUCAAUUUGACAGUUAUGCCUGGCCAGUAUAUAUUCACUGUUCUUCUGUGGCAGUCUACAGGUUUGAUGCUUGUAUCCAUUUCGACAUGUGAGCUCUUAAAUCUGCAUUCCCUGCACCUCAGAGAGAAGAUAAAGGUAACAUAUUGAUAGGCUAUUUCCUGUUCCACAUAGCUAUCCGUCUUGUGCUUUGGAAAGUAUGCCUUGCUCUGUACGUAUGCCAAAAGUAGAGUACUUUAUCUUCAUCUCAAAGUGGUGGCAACUCGGUUAACGAAGGUUCACAUUUAGCUGAAUGGCUUGUCUAACCUCAUAUGAAUGGAUACUUUUGUCUUGGUUAAAUCUGAUAGGGCAGUUUAGGUCUGUGCAGAUCCUCAGAUUGCCAGGAGUUUUUCUGAUCUCUUUUGAGGAUGUUGAUCCACUUUGUGCUAGUUUAAAUAGGUGUAAUAAUGCCUGUUCCUUGCAGGUUUGCCAAUUUGUACUUUAGUAACUCUGCCACAGCUCACUGGAACUUCGCCUUUUUGGGCUACACAUGUGGAUCUCUUCAACUAGCUCGCUGGGUGGCUUUCUUGAAAUAUAUUAUGAGUGUUUGCUAGACAGAACUCAUAGCGGCUGUUCUUGCUCUUCUAUCAUGUUGUGCAUAUCCUGGUGAUGUACUGUGAUUAAAUUCAUGGCUUGUACUUCUCUGUUGCUCAGAAGUGGUGGGUGGUGCCCUUGUGUGUCAACUGUAAUAAAGUCCAGUUGAUAAUAUCUCUUGUUAUGUGCAUUUCUUGCCUACAGUCAACAUUUGCCACCUGGUCUCAGGGUUGUUUUACUGUAUAUCACCAGCACCUGGUCAUUUCCCCCACACCUCCGCCAUCUAAUACUGCUGAUUAUCAUUGUUACUGGGAUUGCAUUACUGUCUCCAUAAUCCAGAUGGAAUCAAACUGGCAGUUGAUCUAAUAGCAUAGUUGCAAAUAUGGCAGUUGAACAGCUGUCAGCCUUCUCGUGCAGUCCUUGUAUAUUGAGUCAUUGAAUUUCUUAAAGUCACAUUGUAAAUACCAUCCUGUAACAGAGGCCUCAGCCCCUGUCACUUUGAGAGGGGAGAGCUGCUGGCUGCUGCAGCAAAGGAAGGCAGACUGGCCAUCAAUCGCAAGUGGGAACCCCUGUGUGUAGGUGGGGAGCCACAUGACAGGAAGGGGU